UACGUAGGGGGCAAGCGUUGUCCGGAAUUAUUGGGCGUAAAGAGCUCGUAGGCGGCUUGUCACGUCGGAUGUGAAAGCCCGGGGCUUAACCCCGGGUCUGCAUUCGAUACGGGCAGGCUAGAGUUCGGUAGGGGAGAUCGGAAUUCCUGGUGUAGCGGUGGAAUGCGCAGAUAUCAGGAGGAACACCGAUGGCGAAGGCAGGUCACUGGGCCGCAACUGACGCUGAGGAGCGAAAGCAUGGGGAGCGAACAGG
rnacentral:rRNA from 1 species